UUCUUCUUUAGUUCAAGACAAGGUUACGUUGACUAGCCUCCGUUACGUCACGCCUUUACAUUGAGACAAGGUUACGUUAGCGUCAUUUGUUUCAUUCUUUUUUACAUCGACACAAGGUUAUGUUAGCCAGUCAUUCAUUACACAUGUUUUUCUUUAGUUUGAGACAAGGUUAUGUUAGCCAGUCAUUCAUUACACAUGUUUUUCUUUAGUUUGAGACAAGGUUAUGUUAGCCAGUCAUUCAUUACAUAUGUUUUUCUUUAGUUUGAGACAAGGUUAUGUUAGCCAGUCAUUCAUUACACAUGUUUUUCUUUAGUUUGAGACAAGGUUAUGUUAGCCAGUCAUUCAUUACACAUGUUUUUCUUUAGUUUGAGACAAGGUUAUGUUAGCCAGUCAUUCAUUACAUAUGUUUUUCUUUAGUUUGAGACAAGGUUAUGUUAGCCAGUCAUUCAUUACAUAUGUUUUUCUUUAGUUUGACACAAGGUUAUGUUAGCCAGUCAUUCAUUACACAUG